UACGAAGGGGGCUAGCGUUGUUCGGAAUCACUGGGCGUAAAGCGCACGUAGGCGGAUUGUUAAGUCGGGGGUGAAAUCCUGAGGCUCAACCUCAGAACUGCCUUCGAUACUGGCAAUCUCGAGUCCGGAAGAGGUUGGUGGAACAGCUAGUGUAGAGGUGAAAUUCGUAGAUAUUAGCUAGAACACCGGUGGCGAAGGCGGUUCUCUGGGCCUGUACUGACGCUGAGGAACGAAAGCGUGGGGAGCGAACAGG
rnacentral:rRNA from 1 species